AACGAACGAAACGAAACGAAACGAAACGAAACGAACGAAACGAAACGAAACGAAAUGAAACGAACGAACGAACGAACGAACGAACGACGUUAACAGACGAUGAUAUUUCACGCACUAGCCAGCCGUUAAGUGCCACGAGUAGAUCGUACGCACGUACGUAUAGUGUAAUCCCGGGAACUUUGAGAUGACUCAACAGGCGGCGGACAAGAAGAGACGACGAUGACGACGACGACGACGACGACGACGACGACGACGAAGACUAGUAACAGUAACUGCAACGGCCAACGGCAACAGCGGUAGCAGCAGCAAAGAAGAGGAAGCUCUCAUAGUAGAAUAACGUGUAGUAGCAGUCAGUCAGUCAGUCAGUCAGUCAAUACGAUAGUGGCCUGCAAUACAUCACCAGACGACUUCAUUAGGCCUUACCGUCCAAAGAUAAAAGACGAAAACAUACGGGAAGAAACGUAUACGAGAAAUCGUAACACACUUGGAGAAUGACGAACCGGUCAUUCACGGAGCCCGCCGUCAUGCCGAUGGAAUGCGCGCAUCCAUGAUGGUCACGUUCGUCUAUUCGACCAAUCAGCCGCAAGGAAGCACCGGCUUCUGCGUCUGCCGGCCAACGCUCGCCACGUGAUUUCGCGCUUGGGACCACGUGACGCUCUUUUUCUCCCCACUACUCCGCCCACUGAACAUAUCACUCUCUCUCUCUCUCUCUCUCUCUCUCUCUCUCUCUUCUCUCUCUCUCUCUCUCUCUCUCUCUCUCUUACCGCCGCCGGCUGUAGCGACGGCGAUGGCGACGCGCGCUUCGCGACGCGACCGCGUGACGUCACGCACAGCUGACUGCGCUAGAAUACGCCGACGGUUUACCGCUUCUCUCUCUCUCUCCUUUUCCUAUUGCCGCUUCGCUCGCUCUUUCUCUCUCUCUCUCUAUCUCUAUCUAUCUCUUUCGCAUUGUUCAUGCGCUCCUGCUAUGUCCCACCAUACCCCACUCCCCUCGCAAAACGCGCAUCCCAUCGUCGUCGUUUUCAUACGGUUAACUCUCUCUCUCUCUCUCUCUCUCUCUCUCUCUCUCUCUCUCUCUCUCUCUCUCUCUCCUCUCUUCCUCUAUCUCUCUCUCUCUCUCUUCCAUUUUCUUUUCUUUAUCUUUUCUUUUUUUCUUUUACUCUCGUACGUAUCUUUCAGUUUAGCUUUCUAGUCUUUUAACAUUUUUUCGCAUUUACAAUUCAUAUUUGCAAAUCGAUUAUAUGAAAUUUCGUAUUAGUGGGUGUAACGGUACACACCGAGAGACGAUUAAACGAUAAACGAGAACGGUAAGCAAUCAAAUGACACGCCUUGGACUCGCAAAACACCUAAUUCGUAAUUUAGGUCAUAGUAAAAUGUGGAUACGAAAUAAUGCGGAUAUAUAUAUAUAUAUAUAUAUAUAUAUAUAUAUAUAUACAUAUAUAUAAUGCAUUCUCUCGUACAUCAGUAUCGUUUCUCUAGAGAUAACCUAACCGCACUGCCCACGCGUUUAACUACACAAUAAGGAUUCUUCGAUACUUUUAUUUACCAUUCUAUAAUGUGUCUCUUUUAAAACGUUCCUUAUAUAAACAAUUUUUUUCUUUUUCUUUCCUCCUAUUUUUUUUUUCUUUUUUCUUUUAAUUCCACGGAGUCGACG